GGCAUAGCUCAGUAGUAGUGCAUUUGCCUUGCUUGUAAAGAGUUCUGGGUUCAAUCCCCAGCAUCUCCA